GACGAACGCUGGCGGCGUGCCUAAUACAUGCAAGUCGAACGCAGUGGGGACGGGUGAGUAACACGUGGGUAACCUCCCAUCAGAGGGGAUAACACUUGGAAACAGGUGCUAAACCGAUACUGAUGGAUGGACCCGCGGUGCAUUAGCGAGUUGGUGAGGUAACGGCUCACCAAGGCCAAGAUGCAUAGCCGCCCUGAGAGGGUUACCGGCCACUCUGCGACUGAGACAGUGCCCAGACUCCUACGUGUGUCAGCAGUAGGGAAUCUUCUGCAAUGUACGAGAGUCUGACCGAGCGACGCCGCGUGAGUGAAUAAGGUUUUCGGAUCGUAAGCCUCUGGUGUUUGCGAAGCGUUAUCUAACCAGAAAUCCACGGCUAACUUCGUGCCAGCAGCCGCGGUAAUUC
rnacentral:rRNA from 1 species